AGAGUUUGAUCCUGGCUCAGAUUGAACGCUGGCGGCAUGCCUUACACAUGCAAGUCGAACGGUAACGCGGGGGCAACCCUGGCGACGAGUGGCGAACGGGUGAGUAAUACAUCGGAACAUAUCCAGUAGCGGGGGAUAACCUAUCGAAAGAUGGACUAAUACCGCAUACGAUCUACGGAUGAAAGCAGGGGACCGCAAGGCCUUGCACUAUUGGAGUGGCCGAUGUCGGAUUAGCUAGUUGGUGAGGUAAAGGCUUACCAAGGCGACGAUCCGUAGCUGGUCUGAGAGGACGAUCAGCCACACUGGAACUGAGACACGGUCCAGACUCCUACGGGAGGCAGCAGUGGGGAAUUUUGGACAAUGGGCGCAAGCCUGAUCCAGCCAUGCCGCGUGAGUGAAGAAGGCCUUCGGGUUGUAAAGCUCUUUCGGUGAAGACGAAACGGUUAGCGCUAAUAACGCUGACUAAUGACGGUACUCACAGAAGAAGCACCGGCUAACUACGUGCCAGCAGCCGCGGUAAUACGUAGGGUGCAGGCGUUAAUCGGAAUUACUGGGCGUAAAGCGUGCGCAGGCGGUUUGCUAAGACAGGUGUGAAAUCCCCGAGCUUAACUUGGGAAUUGCGCUUGUAACUGGCAAGCUAGAGUGUGGCAGAGGGGGGUGGAAUUCCACGUGUAGCAGUGAAAUGCGUAGAUAUGUGGAGGAACACCGAUGGCGAAGGCAGCCCCCUGGGUUAACACUGACGCUCAUGCACGAAAGCGUGGGGAGCAAACAGGAUUAGAUACCCUGGUAGUCCACGCCCUAAACUAUGUCAACUAGUUGUCGGGGAAGAAAUUCCUUGGUAACGAAGCUAACGCGUGAAGUUGACCGCCUGGGGAGUACGGCCGCAAGGUUAAAACUCAGAGGAAUUGACGGGGACCCGCACAAGCGGUGGAUUAUGUGGAUUAAUUCGAUGCAACGCGAAAAACCUUACCUACCCUUGACAUGCUAGGAAGCCCGCAGAGAUGUGGGUGUGCCCGAAAGGGAACCUAGACACAGGUGCUGCAUGGCUGUCGUCAGCUCGUGUCGUGAGAUGUUGGGUUAAGUCCCGCAACGAGCGCAACCCUUGCCAUUAGUUGCUACAUUCAGUUGGGCACUCUAA
rnacentral:rRNA from 1 species